rnacentral:rRNA from 1 species
CAGUAGCCGCGGGAAUACAAAGGGGGCUAGCGUUGUUCGGAUUUACUGGGCGUAAAGCGCACGUAGGCGGACUUUUAAGUCAGGGGUGAAAUCUCGGGGCUCAACCCCGGAACUGCCUUUGAUACUGGGAGUCUUGAGUUCGGGAGAGGUGAGUGGAAUUGCGAGUGUAGAGGUGAAAUUCGUAGAUAUUCGCAGGAACACCAGUGGCGAAGGCGGCUCACUGGCUCGAUACUGACGCUGAGGUGCGAAAGCGUGGGGAGCAAACAGGAUUAGAUACCCCCGUAGUCCCUGUCUCUUAUAA